rnacentral:rRNA from 1 species
ACUCAAAUGAAUUGACGGGGGCCCGCACAAGCGGUGGAUUAUGUGGUUUAAUUCGAAGCAACGCGCAGAACCUUACCUAGGCUUGACAUCCCACGACAAACGUAGAAAUACGUCUUUGUAGCAAUACACGUGGAGACAGGUGCUGCAUGGCUGUCGUCAGCUCGUGUUGUGAAAUGUUGGGUUAAGUCCCGCAACGAGCGCAACCCCUGGAUUUAGUUGCCAGCAUUAAGUUGGGCACUCUAAAUUAACUGCCAGCGUUAAGCUGGAGGAAGGUGGGGAUGACGUCAAGUCCUCAUGGCCCUUACGCCUAGGGCUACACACGUAAUACAAUGGAUGGGACAAAGGGUCGCCAACUCGCAAGAGGGAGCUAAUCUCAAAAACCCAUCCUCAGUUCGGAUUGGGGGCUGCAAUUCGCCCCCAUGAAGGCGGAAUCGCUAGUAAUCGUGGAUCAGAACGCCACGGUGAAUACGUUCCCGGGCCUUGUACACACCGCCCGU